UGCAGUCGAGCGGUAGAGAGAAGCUUGCUUCUCUUGAGAGCGGCGGACGGGUGAGUAAUGCCUAGGAAUCUGCCUGGUAGUGGGGGAUAACGUUCGGAAACGGACGCUAAUACCGCAUACGUCCUACGGGAGAAAGCAGGGGACCUUCGGGCCUUGCGCUAUCAGAUGAGCCUAGGUCGGAUUAGCUAGUUGGUGAGGUAAUGGCUCACCAAGGCGACGAUCCGUAACUGGUCUGAGAGGAUGAUCAGUCACACUGGAACUGAGACACGGUCCAGACUCCUACGGGAGGCAGCAGUGGGGAAUAUUGGACAAUGGGCGAAAGCCUGAUCCAGCCAUGCCGCGUGUGUGAAGAAGGUCUUCGGAUUGUAAAGCACUUUAAGUUGGGAGGAAGGGUUGUAGAUUAAUACUCUGCAAUUUUGACGUUACCGACAGAAUAAGCACCGGCUAACUCUGUGCCAGCAGCCGCGGUAAUACAGAGGGUGCAAGCGUUAAUCGGAAUUACUGGGCGUAAAGCGCGCGUAGGUGGUUUGUUAAGUUGGAUGUGAAAUCCCCGGGCUCAACCUGGGAACUGCAUUCAAAACUGACUGACUAGAGUAUGGUAGAGGGUGGUGGAAUUUCCUGUGUAGCGGUGAAAUGCGUAGAUAUAGGAAGGAACACCAGUGGCGAAGGCGACCACCUGGACUAAUACUGACACUGAGGUGCGAAAGCGUGGGGAGCAAACAGGAUUAGAUACCCUGGUAGUCCACGCCGUAAACGAUGUCAACUAGCCGUUGGAAGCCUUGAGCUUUUAGUGGCGCAGCUAACGCAUUAAGUUGACCGCCUGGGGAGUACGGCC
rnacentral:rRNA from 1 species